rnacentral:rRNA from 1 species
UUACAAUGGAGAGUUUGAUCCUGGCUCAGGAUGAACGCUAGCGGCAGGCUUAACACAUGCAAGUCGAACGGUAACAGAAAAAGCUUGCUUUUUGCUGACGAGUGGCGAACGGGUGCGUAACGCGUAUGCAACCUACCUUUAACUGAGGAAUAGCCCAGAGAAAUUUGGAUUAAUACCUCAUAACACUAUUAAUUCGCAUGUUUUAAUAGUUAAAGCUUUUGCGGUUAAAGAUGGGCAUGCGUAACAUUAGUUUGUUGGUGAGGUAAUGGCUCACCAAGACUACGAUGUUUAGGGGUUCUGAGAGGAUGAUCCCCCACACUGGUACUGAGACACGGACCAGACUCCUACGGGAGGCAGCAGUGAGGAAUAUUGGUCAAUGGACGAAAGUCUGAACCAGCCAUGCCGCGUGAAGGAUGACGGCCCUACGGGUUGUAAACUUCUUUUGUAUAGGAAGAAACCCCUCUACGUGUAGAGGGCUGACGGUACUAUACGAAUAAGCACCGGCUAACUCCGUGCCAGCAGCCGCGGUAAUACGGAGGGUGCAAGCGUUAUCCGGAUUUAUUGGGUUUAAAGGGUCCGUAGGUGGAAAUUUAAGUCAGUGGUGAAAGCCCACAGCUCAACUGUGGAAUUGCCAUUGAUACUGGAUUUCUUGAAUCUGAUUGAAGUAGGCGGAAUAUGACAUGUAGCGGUGAAAUGCUUAGAUAUGUCAUAGAACACCGAUAGCGAAGGCAGCUUACUAAGUCAGUAUUGACACUAAGGGACGAAAGCGUGGGGAGCGAACAGGAUUAGAUACCCUGGUAGUCCACGCUGUAAACGAUGAUUACUCGCUAUUGGCGAUACACUGUCAGUGGCUAAGCGAAAGUGAUAAGUAAUCCACCUGGGGAGUACGAUCGCAAGGUUGAAACUCAAAGGAAUUGACGGGGGCCCGCACAAGCGGUGGAGCAUGUGGUUUAAUUCGAUGAUACGCGAGGAACCUUACCAGGACUUAAAUGCACAAUGACAGAUUGGGAAACCAAUCCUUCUUCGGACAGUGUGCAAGGUGCUGCAUGGUUGUCGUCAGCUCGUGCCGUGAGGUGUUGGGUUAAGUCCCGUAACGAGCGCAACCCCUAUUCUUAGUUGCCAGCGGUUCGGCCGGGGACUCUAAGAAAACUGCCAGCGCAAGCUGUGAGGAAGGUGGGGAUGACGUCAAAUCAUCACGGCCCUUACGUCCUGGGCUACACACGUGCUACAAUGGUAGGUACAAAGGGCAGCCACUUGGUGACAAGGAGCUAAUCUCUAAAACCUAUCUCAGUUCGGAUUGGAGUCUGAAACUCGACUCUAUGAAGCUGGAAUCGCUAGUAAUCGCGCAUCAGCCAUGGCGCGGUGAAUACGUUCCCGGGCCUUGUACACACCGCCCGUCAAGCCAUGGAAGCUGGGAGUACCUGAAGUCGGUAACCAUAUAGGAGCUGCCUAGGGUAAAACUAGUGACUGGGGCUAAGUCGUAACAAGGUAGCCGUACCGGAAGGUGCGGCUGGAACACCUCCUUUCU